AUUGAACGCUGGCGGCAUGCUUUACACAUGCAAGUCGAACGGUAGAGGGGGCAACCCCUUGAGAGUGGCGAACGGGUGAGUAAUGCAUCGGAACGUGCCCAGUCGUGGGGGAUAACGCAGCGAAAGCUGUGCUAAUACCGCAUACGAUCUCUGGAUGAAAGCGGGGGACCGAAAGGCCUCGCGCGACUGGAGCGGCCGAUGUCAGAUUAGGUAGUUGGGGGGGUAAAGGCUCACCAAGCCUACGAUCUGUAGCUGGUCUGAGAGGACGACCAGACACACUGGGACUGAGACACGGCCCAGACUCCAACGGGAGGCAGCAGUGGGGAAUUUUAGACGAUGGGCGCAAGCCUGAUCCAGCAAUGCCGCGUGCAGGAAGAAGGCCUGCGGGUCGUAAACUGCUUUUGUACGGAACGAAAAGGUCUGGGUUAAUACCCUGGGCACAUGACGGUACCGUAAGAAUAAGCACCGGCUAACUACGUGCCAGCCGCCGCUGUAA
rnacentral:rRNA from 1 species